UACUCGAGUGGCGAACGGGUGAGUAACACGUGGGUGAUCUGCCCUGCACUUUGGGAUAAGCCUGGGAAACUGGGUCUAAUACCGAAUAGGACCACGCGCUUCAUGGUGUGUGGUGGAAAGCUUUUGCGGUGUGGGAUGGGCCCGCGGCCUAUCAGCUUGUUGGUGGGGUAAUGGCCUACCAAGGCGACGACGGGUAGCCGGCCUGAGAGGGUGUCCGGCCACACUGGGACUGAGAUACGGCCCAGACUCCUACGGGAGGCAGCAGUGGGGAAUAUUGCACAAUGGGCGCAAGCCUGAUGCAGCGACGCCGCGUGGGGGAUGACGGCCUUCGGGUUGUAAACCUCUUUCAGUAUCGGCGAAGCUCCAGGAUUUUUCUUGGGGUGACGGUAGGUACAGAAGAAGCACCGGCCAACUACGUGCCAGCAGCCGCGGUAAUACGUAGGGUGCGAGCGUUGUCCGGAAUUACUGGGCGUAAAGAGCUCGUAGGUGGUUUGUCACGUUGUCCGUGAAAACUCACAGCUUAACUGUGGGCGUGCGGGCGAUACGGGCAGACUGGAGUACUGUAGGGGAGACUGGAAUUCCUGGUGUAGCGGUGGAAUGCGCAGAUAUCAGGAGGAACACCGGUGGCGAAGGCGGGUCUCUGGGCAGUAACUGACGCUGAGGAGCGAAAGCGUGGGGAGCGAACAGGAUUAGAUACCCUGGUAGUCCACGCCGUAAACGGUGGGUACUAGGUGUGGGUUUCCUUCCUUUAGGGAUCCGUGCCGUAGCUAACGCAUUAAGUACCCCGCCUGGGGAGUACGGCCGCAAGGCUAAAACUCAAAGGAAUUGACGGGGGCC
rnacentral:rRNA from 1 species